rnacentral:rRNA from 1 species
GACGAACGCUGGCGGCGUGCUUAACACAUGCAAGUCGAACGGAAAGGCCCUGCUUUUGUGGGGUGCUCGAGUGGCGAACGGGUGAGUAACACGUGAGUAACCUGCCCUUGACUUUGGGAUAACUUCAGGAAACUGGGGCUAAUACCGGAUAGGAGCUCCUGCUGCAUGGUGGGGGUUGGAAAGUUUCGGCGGUUGGGGAUGGACUCGCGGCUUAUCAGCUUGUUGGUGGGGUAGUGGCUUACCAAGGCUUUGACGGGUAGCCGGCCUGAGAGGGUGACCGGCCACAUUGCGACUGAGAUACGGCACAGACUCCUACGGGAGGCAGCAGUGGGGAAUAUUGCACAGUGGGCGGAAGCCUGAUGCAGCAACGCCGCGUGCGGGAUGACGGCCUUCGGGUUGUAAUCCGCUUUCGCCUGUGACGAAGCGUGAGUGACGGUAAUGGGUAAAGAAGCACCGGCUAACUACGUG